rnacentral:rRNA from 1 species
UACGAAGGGGACUAGCGUUGUUCGGAAUCACUGGGCGUAAAGCGCACGUAGGCGGAUGUGUCAGUCAGGGGUGAAAUCCCGGGGCUCAACCUCGGAACUGCCUUUGAUACAGCACGUCUCGAGUCCGGAAGAGGUGGGUGGAAUUCCUAGUGUAGAGGUGAAAUUCGUAGAUAUUAGGAAGAACACCGGUGGCGAAAGCGGCGUGCUGGACCGUUUCUGACGCUGAGGCGCGAAAGCUAGGGGAGCAAACGGG